GAGGAGUGGCCGUGUGAUCCUUUCUACAUGAGGAGGAACAUGUGAGAAAAGAGAGAGGGAUGACAGAGGAGGAGAGAAAAGCAGGUACACUGCACUAAUGUGGGGAGACAGGGCAAGUCGAGGGAGCAUCUGUUUUUAGAGUCUGAGAAUCCAUCCUCUUUUCUUUCCUUUUUCUUGCAGUUUUAUCCCUCUCAGCCUCUCCCUUUGUGUGUGUUUUUGUAUUUCCACAGUGGGCACUAAACAGCUUCUUUCACCAUAAGAAAGCAAAAAACAAAAACUUUAGUGUUCCCACAGGAGUUGAAUAACACUGAGUUAUUCCACGCCUGCCAAGGGUCAGUCUCAGCUGCUCCAUUUGAUAGCAAAAGGCUAUAAAAAUAUUGGAGUGUUAUAACAGCAAGGUCCUCUAAAAUAAUUUAAAGCAUGUGUGUGUGCGUGUGUAUGGGUAACAUCAUUACAUAAGAGAUAAACAUGUGUGGUUCUGGGUGCAGAAACAAGGAUUGGAAAGAAAUGAGGAGUGGUUUUCAUCUUAUAACACGCUCUUCAAUCUGGAAAUGAUUAAAGGUCAAUCAACUUGUCCAAAGAUUGAACAAAAAUUGUCCAGUUGAGCUCGGAUUUUUAAAAAGGUCACCCUUCUUGCCUCAUGCAUGUUCCCUGUUAUUUCUCACGUGUGAAGGAGGAGGAUUUGCCAGAAACAUGCUUCUCUUGCUCCUCCCAUGUCCUCCAGUGAACCCCAUGACUCUCUCACUUUCGCUUGCCCACCACUUGAAGUUGCCUCUCUGGAGGACUACAUCAUUUCGUCUUCAUAGUACGCUUCAUAUUUCAUUUAGUGAGAGAGAGAAAGAGAGAGGGAGGAGAGAGAGAGAGAGAGAGGGUCUGGGAGCGUAAAGAGAUCAUGUUAUUAUGAAGGCUCUUGGGUGGACCCUGGGCUCAUAACUGCAACACCAUUAAACCUUACAUCAGCCAUGAUCAGGAGAGGAGACAGAGAAGGAGAAAAAGGCUGUGUGAUGUGCUGUGAAGGCAAGAAUUUUCAACCCUAAAGACAGUCUGACCUUCACACUUUAAGCACGGAGAAAUAGACGUAAUAGGAUCAUGUCAGUAACAAGAGUUUGGAAGAAGAUUCAGACGGUUUCUUUUUGCAUGUGCAGCUGCUUUGCAUGUUUGGAUGGGAGAGGAGGGAAACUAGAGGAGUGCAAUGUAAGGAUGCAUGAUAUCAGCCUUCAAAGAGGUCAAAACUGACAAAGGAGCUCCUUAAUACUGAAACAGAUUAUAAACAUACAGACUUUAAACAGUUUGUAUGUGAUGAACUGAAAUAAUCUGAGUAAAAGCAAGAAUGUGAUUGUUACUGCUCAGUUUUAUAAAAAUACAGAAUUUAAAGUACACAAACAACACAUUGGCUAAAUAAAUAUUGGUAUAAUAAAUUGUUAAAUUGAAAAAAACAUCUGUGGAAAUAAUGCUUAAGGGUUGACUAAGGAUUUUUCAAACAAAGGAGGAUGUGCAGUAGUAGGUCUAGUUGGAUGAGUGUGAAACUAGAAAUUGCUGCAAAAUAUCCAAAGACAAAAACAAGAUUUUUUUUCUGUCUCUCUUAGCAGGCACAGAUACACAUAUCCAGUUUCCUUGUUACUUGUGAUAACAAGUAAUUUAUGGUUGUGUUCUCCAAAACCAGCCUAUUAUACUCACGAAAACAGCCCUUAUUAGCUCAAGAUAACACGCUGAUUUUAGCAGUUUUCCUGAGAUCUCUACUUGGAGCCAUAAUGUCGCUUUGCUUAUUAGUGAUCCUGUGUUCAGUUACUUCUGUCUGGGUGGUAUUGGUUUCGCUGGGUUUGGGUCACGUGAGCACUGUGUUUUAAAGCCAGUAGUUUCUAUCAGGGGCGGUCUUACCUGCACUGGGGUGGAGAGGUGAGCCUAGGUAGCCGUCAUUUUUGUUGACCGUGCUUUAUGUUCUUUGUUUGCUAUGAUACACGUCGCAGAGUGUACACAUAUUACAUCGGAUGUGCGUGUGUAAUCAUUGGGGAUUGUGGAUGCGUUUUUUUUCUGAUAUUAAAGCUCCGAAAACUUUAAUGAACUGUGUGCUUCUUUGGAACAGCAGCAGCGUGUCACACAAAUAUACAGGACCUAGUCUCUGCCUCAAGCGACUUUUUAAAGGUACUAGCAAAGCCGCAACAAUGAAUGAAACCAAGAUAUUUGUUCCCUGUGGUCAUGAGUUCAUUUCAGCUGUUUUCUCAAACUCUUCAAUAUUAUUCCAUGUAAUCUUAGGAUUACCAAAAUAGUUCUCCCCAUGAUACUGGAUCGAUUUAUCCUCUUUAUCUUGUAACAGGAUAUUUCAUAGCAAAUCAACAGACCAUCACAUGUCCUGCAGCCAUUGGCUUCAGUAAUGGGGUGGGUAAAGCGCAUUUCUGUGUUUGUUUGGGAUUGGAGUGACUUUGAAGUCAAGAUUUGGAGAUGAGUUGAAAGCAGCUCAUAAUGGAAAAUAUAAGUACAUCAAGUGUUGCUCUGGGCUGUCAUAUAUGUGAACAGUGGUAAUACAGGAAAAAUCAAGAACUGCAGUUUACAUUUAUUCUGUAAUCCCUCCUAAAAUAACCCAAUGUGAGGCUCCACUGAUACACCUGACUAAAGUCAAUUGCUUUUUUGCCCUGUGAUAGAAAGUGACACAUCUAACGGUAAAGUGAUGAGUCCUCAUUAGCCGUGUUGCUAACUGCAUCAUGCAGGUACUGAUGAUAAUUAUCAGGAAGAUGCUGCAAUGCAGAUCUCACAGGAGCAUGCAUCACUGAAUCUGAGGUGAAGGUAACAAGUGGACUCACAAACUCUCACUCCGAAGUCAUGAAUUGCUCCCUGCUGACUCGCCACCUGCUUCUGUUGUUUCUGUUAAUCAAUCAGAAGAGCUGUAUCUCACACACGCUCAUUUCCUCAUUAUAAUCUGCUGCAGUUUGGUGUGCUCUUUGUGUGUGUGUGUGUGUGUGUGUGUGUGUGUGUGCAUGUGUGUGUGUUUAAGUGGGUCAAACCCCUCUGUUGCCUCUCAGAUGGUCCGCCGGGAGAUAAAUGCAGAGAAGAGGAGCUGUAAUCUGGGAUUGGAGCUGGAUCCUGUAACUCAGUUAAAUAUGCACACAAACACACACAUGCACCAUCCACACACUCACACACACUCAUUAAAGACCUAAGUACAAACUAAAACCUACAGCGAACACUUCACGCAUAUUUGCACACAGUUAUGCACCAUUUCAUACACCCAACAAUAUCUCUUUGUCUAGCAUAAUAGUGUAACACAUGGACCAAAAACAGUGAUUUUAAUCUUUUGUUUUAGCUAAUUUUGAAAUUUUUACUGGCGCAUAAUCCAAAUUUGAAUCCACUGGACUUGUGCCGUCCAAACUGUGGUUAAAAAAACUCAAAUCAGUCAUGUCUGCAAAAACGCCUUCUUUCUACACCACAACUGGUGAGCCAGUUUCACAGUACUUAGACUUGCAUGCCAGACCAGUAAGUGGUGAUAAUGUGUAAUCAGUCCAUCACAACCCACAAACACCAUGGUAGAACACUGCGCAUGCAUGCCUGCUGAUCAUCUUCAUGGUGUUGACAGAGUGGACGAUUAAAAAAAGCAUGAUAUAUUUAUGUGCCCUAGCACUGUGCUACAAUGAUAAAAAAAAGUUAGUUUUCCCUGCGCAAUGCUAUUAAACCAAGUACAAGGUGAGAUAAUAGCGUCAGGUUCUUUUAAAGCUUUUGUUUUUGGUGCCCACAUGGACACACAGAGAGAGUGGAAUAAUUUAAAAGUCUCCAUCAUGGAGGUUGUUUUUUUACCACCAUCUUUAGUGACCUAAAACUCUGUUUGUGUACAAAAGGCCAACAUGUACUGAAAAAGCUCCAUUUUUAAAAAUACCCUCUCCAUGUUGGCAAGGCCUCAGAGUCAUCAGUCAACUAAAUCAGCACAUUUGGGGACAAAGGAGGGAAGCUGGUGUACCUGCACAGGAAGAACGUGGAUCCCUGCACAAUAAGGCCCCUGUUGGCUAGAGGUUCAAACCGGGGACCAUUUUGCCGAAGGACCACAGUGUCAACCCUUUAAGCUCUUAUGGCACAAUACAUGAUUGGGUUCACAUGUACCAGAGGAGGGCGCUCUCUGUUUUUUUUAGUGUGAUACCAAAGUUACAGCGAGUUUCAUCAGCAAAGAUUUUUCUGGUGGAAAAAUGCAGCGACAGAGUAUUGACGCACAGACAGCGCUGGCAGCAUGUGCUUCCAAUAAAUGACAGGACGAAAUGAUGGAAGGCGGCAAGAAAUGUUAUAAGUCAGCAGAAAUGAGACACGCGUGCAUUAGCGUGCACACAGACACACACCGACACACACACCAAAUGUCUGACUCCUCCAUCCACCCUAAACAAGAAUGACACUGAAAUACAGACAAGUGUUCUCGUCGCUGAAGCCUGAAAUUGCCUUUCCUUCCUGCUGUUGAUUGUGUUUCACACUCAGUGAAACAAGAGCAGGGACCCCAUGACAGAUUCAAUGUGUGUGUGAAUGUGUGUGUGUAUGUGUGUGUGUGUAUUGUCUCAUUGAUUGUGUCUUGUCUCAUUCAUUUGCCCUGUGCUCACACCAGUUGGAGAGAGAUUUGAUAUUCUGCUAGCAAGAUUAAAUUUAUGCAUGGAGGGAACGUGGUGUUCAACAAGGAAGCUUUCCGGUCAGUUAAGCAGCCACCAAUCUAACUUCUCCUCCAGUUAGCAAGGUGGGAUUGCACCGAGCCAUGUGACCGUGCUACGCUGCAAAUGAGGUUAAACUUUCUAUCAAAUGUGUAUUAUUUAGCAAAUCUGUCUCUUCCCCUCCCAGUAAAAGAUUUAUCACUUCAGCCCAAUGCUUUUCUUUACCAAUACUGAAUGGGAUUCUCCAGACUAUGAAUAAGAUUAUCACUGCGGAGAAGGAAGAUAAACACAUUCUUCACCUCUUGGUUUAAAAGUUGAAUUCUUUAGAAAUAAAUCACAUUAACCUCUCAGUGUCUCCUUAGUUUUCCGAAGCUAACAGGAGCUGAGAAUAAAAAUACUCUGGGAUUACCCCCAAAAAGUUACACUGUCUUAUUUCUUAAUGUAGAGAAACUUCAUUAAGUUUCAGUAUAGUGUUUUCUACUGACCUUCUAGCUCACCAUUAGAGUAUUACUUGUUAUCGGUAUCUGUACUUUUAAAUCACAUUAUUGCUGAUAAUAUUUGCAGUCUAGGUCUAAGGGUGGCAGAAGCUCAGGAGGUAGAGCAGUCGUCCAAUAACCGGAAGGUUGGUGGUUUUAAUCCCGUCCUAUCCCUAGUCUGUCUGUUCUGUCCUUGGGCAAGACACUUAACCCACCUUGCUCCCGGUAUGUGUCCUCCACUGGUGUAUAGUUGUGAGUGUUGUGUGGCGGUGGUCGGAGAGGCUGUAGACAGCUGUGACUACUAAGGUAAUUUACUACCACCAAGGUGUGACUGUGUGAGUGAAUGAAUGAUGUAUCUAAUGUAAAGUGCUUUGAGGGUCUCUGAUAAAGUGCUAUAUGAAAUCUGAUGCAUUAUGAUUAAGUUCUCAGUACUUCUUCCACCAAAUGUAUACAUGUGUGUUUCAGUGCUCAGUAUUAUUUUCCGACUGUCCAUUAGACAGGGGUGCAUUCAGAAGGUUAGCCUAUGGGUGGUUAUCUGAUCGGCCACCCCAAAAUCCCAAGUCAUGAGUUGUUUGCCUUGUCGGAGUUGGAACUUAAAUGGAAAAAGACUCCUUUCUAACCGUCCAAAUUGGGUCAUAUAUUUGAUGUGUUGUUGUUGUAUUGUGCAACUGUGUCUCCUCCCCUGCUGAGUGUGGAUGUGAUUAUGGGUUUGAUUGUUGAUCAUUGCAGGUGUGGCCUCUGAUUGGCCAGUUCAACCAGACUGGCACCUGUUGGAUUAGAGAAAGAGGGUCAGCAGCACUGAUUUAAAAUCUCAUGCUCACAAACAACAUGAGACUGUGUGUAAUGAAUCUUUCCAUCCAUCCAUUUUCUACUGCUUAUUCCUGUUCCCCGGGUCACAGGGGGGACUGGAGCAUCUUCAGCCGAAGAGGGACACCCUGGACAAGUCUCCUGUUCAUCACAGGGCUGACAUAAAGAGAUAAACAACCAUCCACACCCACGGGUAAUUUAAAAGUGGCUAAUUAACCUAAACCCACUUCUGCAUAUUUUUGGGAUGUGGGAGGAAACCAGAGUACUCAGAGUAAACCCACGCAGACACAUGGAGAAUAUGAAAACUCCACACAGAAACACCCAGACUCGGAUUCGAAC